GUACUCGCUUCAGGAGCACAUACACUAAAAUUGGAACGAUAUAGAGAAGAUUAGCAUGGCCCCUAAAAAAAUAAAAUAAAAAAAUAAAAUAAUAAU
ensembl:snRNA U6 U6 spliceosomal RNA